rnacentral:rRNA from 1 species
AUUGAACGCUGGCGGCAUGCCUUACACAUGCAAGUCGAACGGCAGCAUGGAGAGCUUGCUCUCUGAUGGCGAGUGGCGAACGGGUGAGUAAUGCAUCGGAACGUACCGUGUAAUGGGGGAUAACGUAGCGAAAGUUACGCUAAUACCGCAUACGACCUGAGGGUGAAAGCAGGGGAUCGCAAGACCUUGCGUUAUACGAGCGGCCGAUGUCAGAUUAGCUAGUUGGUGAGGUAAAGGCUCACCAAGGCGAAGAUCUGUAGCGGGUAUGAGAGGAUAAUCCGCAACACUGGGAAUGAGACACGGCCCAGACUCCUACGGGAGGCAGCAGUGGGGAAUUUUGGACAAUGGGGCAACCCUGAUCCAGCCAUGCCGCGUGAGUGAAGAAGGCCUUCGGGUUGUAAAGCUCUUUCGGCCGGGAAGAAAUCGCACAGGCUAAUACUCUGUGUGGAUGACGGUACCGGCAUAAGAAGCACCGGCUAACUACGUGCCAGCCGCCGCGGUAA